rnacentral:lncRNA from 1 species
CAGGUCACGUGGCACUAAGCCUAUAUAAUAAAGAAAUUUUGCCACCAAUCCAAGCAUUCGAGUGGACCACACUAAAAGUCCAAAGAUGGGUUUGCUCCAGCAAACAUUCAUUCUUGUGGGACUUCUGCUUUGCAUCAACUAUGUUCCUGCACGAAGACUGGUAAAAAGACAAUUGUACGGACUCAAUCCUGGCGGUGGUGGAAAAGGAGGAUCUAACAACAACAACAAUGGUGGUGGCAAUAAUUGGUCAGGCGGACAGAAAGGAGGAAAUAAAGGAGGAAACUGGGGUCAAGGCGGUGGAAAUACUGGCGG